AUUGGAUGGAGUAAAUGAUGCUGAAGAAUAUCUUGCAACAAGAAGGGCUAUGGAUAUAGUAGGAAUCAGUGAGGAAGAGCAGGAUGCAAUUUUCAGGGUGGUUGCUGCAAUUCUUCACCUUGGUAAUGUUGAAUUUGCGAAAGGUGAGGAAAUAGACUCUUCUGUGAUUAAGGAUGAGCAGUCUCGAUUUCAUCUCAAUAUGACGGCGGAGUUACUCAAGUGUGAUGCCAAGAGCUUG
rnacentral:misc_RNA from 1 species